CUCAUCAAGAGUAGCAGAGGGACUGGCCCGAUGAGGCUACAGCAACCAUUCGAAUGAAGCGGUGCUAAUUCCAGCAGGAAACUGAGAGAUGAGG
rnacentral:ncRNA from 1 species